GGCGUGGUGGCUCACGCCUGUAAUCCCAGCACUUGGGAAGCUGAGGCAGGAGGAUCGUUGUGAGUUCAAGGCCAGCCUGGGCUACAAAGUGAGCUCAAGGCCAGCCUGAACUGCAUAGUGAGACCCUGCCUCAAAAAAAAAAAAAAAAAUAAUGAUAAUAAUAAUAAUUCUCACAUGCAGGCUUGAAACUCCAUGAUCGUGAAGUUCACCCUUGAAGAGGAGAUCUUCAAAAAUUUAAUCUGUUCUCUGGCUUUCGAUUUCUCUGUAUCUACAUGACCUGCUUGUCUGAUAUUGGUCUACUGAACUGACUUCAUUUCCUUACUGAUAGAGAAACCAGUCCCUCUCCAUCCUUCCUGCAUCACAAGACUGGUAUAACAGGCCUGUAUGAAGACAUGAAAAGGAAUGUUUUCAGAAAGAAAGUCCAUUUUCAUACUUGAAGACACUGACUUCUUUUCUUUGAUGGAAACAUAGAGAAGAAAUGUCACUUUUAUCACUCUGAGAACACACAAGUUCAGAAUAUGUUUAUGCCACUUCCAUGCAGAGAAUGUGCUCCAUCACUGAACUGCAGCCUCAGGUCUACCUCAGAUUUUGAUCACACGACCAAGGUACACUUCUAAUGGCUAACAGCAUGUGGAGAAAUGGGGUUUGGUGUCAGAGGGUAAUAUUUUAAAAAUUUACCAUAAAGUUCAAACAAGGAAGACAAUAUUUGAAGGUGAGAUUCCUAAUCACCUAGCCAAUAAUGAUGCCAAUUUAUGUAAAUCAUAGCAAACUCAUUGUGAAAAUGACCAGGAAUAAUAAUAAAGUUCCGGG
rnacentral:lncRNA from 1 species